ensembl:lncRNA
CCCGGUGUAGUUCAAGUCCAGUGUCAUUAUCUCUUGGCCAUCAGAGGAAGGGAGCAUGAGUCAUGACUGAAGAGCAUUUGCUUGGUUCAUUUAUGUUGUGAUGGUUUAUGUUGUGAUGGUUUAUGUAAUGACUUAUGAGCCAAGACUUAAGAGCAUUGCUUGGUUCAUUUAUGUUGUGAUGGUUUAUGUAAUGACUUAUGAGGCAAGACUUAAGAGCAUUCGCUUGGUUCAUUUAUGUUGUGAUGGUUUCUGUUUUGAUCGUUUCAAUGUGCCAACCUUGUUUCCGAGCCGUGACAGCGAUUGAGCAUGAGACAAGGCUUAACAGCGACUCCAAGGCUUAUU